rnacentral:rRNA from 1 species
UAUUUAAUAUUAAUUAUUAGUUAUAAUUAUAAGAAAUCUAAAAUAGUUUAAAGUAUAGUAGUAGAAAUAAAUAAAUAAUAAAAAGUAAAUAUAU